rnacentral:misc_RNA from 1 species
GAUGAAGAACGUAGCGAAAUGCGAUAAGUAAUGUGAAUUGCAGAAUUCAGUGAAUCAUCGAAUCUUUGAACGCACAUUGCGCCCGCCAGUAUUCUGGCGGGCAUGCCUGUUCGAGCGUCAUUUCAACCAUCAAGCCCCCGGCUUGUGUUGGGGACCUGCGGCUGCCGCAGGCCCUGAAAACCAGUGGCGGGCUCGCUGUCACACCGAGCGUAGUAGCAUACAUCUCGCUCUGGGCGUGCUGCGGGUUCCGGCCGUUAAACCACCUUCAUAACCCAAGGUUGACCUCGGAUCAGGUAGGAAGACCCGCUGAACUUAAGCAUAUCAAUAAGCGGAGGA